rnacentral:rRNA from 1 species
CAUCGGGGGAGACUAACAGGAUUCCCCUAGUAACUGCGAGUGAAGCGGGAAAAGCUCAAAUUUAAAAUCUGGCGGUCUUUGGCCGUCCGAGUUGUAAUCUAGAGAAGUGUUACCCGCGUCGGACCGUGUACAAGUCUCCUGGAAUGGAGCGUCAUAGAGGGUGAGAAUCCCGUCUUUGACACGGACUACCGAGGCUUCUGUGGUGCGCUCUCAAAGAGUCGAGUUGUUUGGGAAUGCAGCUCAAAAUGGGUGGUAAAUUCCAUCUAAAGCUAAAUAUUGGCGAGAGACCGAUAGCGAACAAGUACCGUGAGGGAAAGAUGAAAAGAACUUUGGAAAGAGAGUUAAACAGUACGUGAAAUUGCUGAAAGGGAAACGCUUGAAGUCAGUCGCGUCGUUCGGGAAUCAGCCUUCCUUCUGGUUGGCGUACUUCCUGGUCGACGGGCCAGCAUCAGUUUUGACCGGUGGAAAAAGUUGUAGGGAAUGUGGCACCUCCGGGUGUGUUAUAGCCCUGCUUCGUAUACAUCGGUUGGGACUGAGGAACUCAGCACGCCGCAAGGCCGGGAUUCGUCCACGUUCGUGCUUAGGAUGCUGGCAUAAUGGCUUUAAUCGACCCGUCUUGAAACACGGACCAAGGAGUCUAACAUGCCUGCGAGUGUUUGGGUGGAAAACCCGAGCGCGUAAUGAAAGUGAAAGUUGAGAUCCCUGUCAUGGGGAGCAUCGACGCCCGGACCAGACGUUCUCUGACGGUUCUGCGGUAGAGCAUGUAUGUUGGGACCCGAAAGAUGGUGAACUAUGCCUGAAUAGGGUGAAGCCAGAGGAAACUCUGGUGGAGGCUCGUAGCGAUUCUGACGUGCAAAUCGAUCGUCAAAUUUGGGUAUAGGGGCGAGAGACUAAUCGAACCAUCUAGUAGCUGGUUCCUGCGAGUUUUUCUUACUAAGAAAAAAAAACACCCACCCGGCUUAAAAAGGGGGUCGCGAAUAAGUUCUUUUCCCCCCUAUAUACCAAAUUUUGAAGCAUGGAGUUUGGCCGGUCGGAAAUGGCUACCAGCCUCCACCAGAGUUUCCUCUGGCUUUCACCCUAUUCAGGCAUAGUUACAUCUUUCGGGUCCAACAUACAUGCUCUACCGCCAAACGUCAGAGAAACGUUCUGAUCGGGGUGCAUGUCCAUGAACAGGCAAUCACGUUUACUUCAUUACGUCUCGAUGACCGACCUCAGGCAGUUUGAAUUGGUUCCGGAUUUUCAGAAACACGGGC